UGCCCGCUUUUUCUCCUCUCUCAUAGGCAAAACGAGACAAAAAAGGAAUUCAGAACCCUUAAACCCCGCAAACAAACAAUUCAGAGUGAGCCAUGCCUAAAGCCCUUUGAAAGCCAUCCAAACAAACCCGUCAAUUUAUUGACGCAAAAUUUCAGAUAUUUAUAAUGCGUUUUCUUCUUCAACACAGACUCUCAUUCUUCAUGGCUACUCUUAGAACCUCGAUACUACCCGCUGUUACUCUCCUCUUUCCUUCUAAUACACGAUUUUUGCAAUCCUCUACACGGGUUUUUCCUGUUUUUGCUUCGAAACCCAUUAAUAAUUGUAGUAAUAAUUAUCGUUCUUUGGCUCUUAAAACCACCACUAAAACCAAUGGCUUCUCCUCGGCUCCAGUUCUUUCUGAGGAUAUAGAUAAUCGGCGGGUGGGUUUGCAGCCGUCAGAUAUUAUGAAGAUAAAGUUGAAGGAAAUGGGGAUAGAUAUGGACAAAUGUGUUCCUGGCCAGUACAGUCAUUUGCUUUGUCCAGCCUGCAAAGGUGGUGAUUCAGAAGAAAAAAGCUUGUCUGUUUACAUCACCCCUGAUGGAGUCUCAGCUUUGUGGAUGUGUUUUCGGGCAAAAUGUGGAUGGAAAGGCAGCACAAGGGUCAGAGAUUCUGUGGCCUUUGGAGAAUCACGUUCAAGUUUGAACCAAAUUGCCCUACCGAAGACUGUGAGAGAAGUCACAGAGGAAGGUCUGCAACUAGAGCCACUGUCAGAUGAGCUUCUUGGUUAUUUUGCUGAGCGAAUGAUAACAUCAAAGACACUACAAAGGAAUCGUGUUAUGCAGAAGCGAUGUGGGAAUGAUGAGGUUGUUAUUGCAUUUACUUAUCAGAAACAGGGGAAGCUCGUAAAUUGCAAAUAUCGGGACAUCGUGAAGAGAUUUUGGCAGGAAAAGGAUACUGAAAAGGUAUUUUAUGGUUUGGAUGAUAUAGAUGGAGAAAGGGAUAUCAUCAUUGUUGAAGGUGAAAUAGACAAGCUUUCAAUGGAGGAAGCUGGGUUUCGUAAUUGUGUUAGCGUUCCUGAUGGAGCACCUGCUUCAGUUUCCACAAAAGAUUUGCCACCUGAAGACAAGGACAUUAAGUAUAAGUAUCUGUGGAACUGCAGAGAGUACCUUAAUAAGGCAUCACGCAUUAUACUAGCCACUGAUGGGGAUCCACCUGGUCAAGCCUUAGCUGAAGAACUUGCACGCCGCCUUGGAAAAGAAAGAUGCUGGCGAGUCAAGUGGCCAAAAAAAGAUGAAGUUAAUUAUUUUAAAGAUGCAAAUGAGGUACUUAUGUAUCUUGGACCACUAGUACUAAAGGAAGUAGUUGAGAAUGCCGAAUUGUACCCUAUAAGUGGAUUAUUCAACUUUAGAGAUUACUUUGCUGAAAUUGAUGCAUACUAUCAUCGGAGUUUUGGAGAUGAAUUUGGUGUAUCUACUGGGUGGAGAAAUCUGGAUGAACUAUACAAUGUUGUGCCUGGAGAGUUGACUAUAGUUACUGGGGUUCCAAACUCUGGAAAGAGUGAAUGGAUUGAUGCACUCAUAUGCAAUAUUAAUCAUAGUGUUGGCUGGACAUUUGUACUCUGCUCCAUGGAGAACAAGGUUCGGGAGCAUGCAAGAAAACUUUUGGAGAAACACAUAAAGAAGCCUUUUUUUAAAGCAAGUUAUGGAGGAAAUGCUGAAAGAAUGACUGAAGAGGAGUUGGAGCAAGGGAAGCAAUGGUUGAGUGAUACAUUUAGCCUUAUAAGGUGUGAGAAUGAUGCUCUUCCAAGUAUUAAAUGGGUCCUUGAACUUGCCAAAGCAGCAGUUUUAAGGCAUGGGGUGCGUGGACUUGUAAUUGAUCCAUACAAUGAACUUGAUCAUCAGCGUCCUGUUAGCCAGACUGAGACUGAGUAUGUGAGUCAGAUGCUUACUAAGAUCAAGCGGUUUGCUCAACAUCAUGGUUGUCAUGUUUGGUUUGUUGCACAUCCUAGACAGUUGCACAGUUGGGUUGGCGCUCCUCCUAAUCUGUAUGAUAUUAGUGGAAGUGCACACUUCAUAAACAAGUGUGACAAUGGAAUUGUUAUUCACCGCAAUCGGGAUCCAGAUGCAGGGCCUAUCGACAGAGUUCAAGUUUGCGUGCGGAAGGUGCGGAAUAAGGUGGCAGGAACAAUAGGCGAUGCCUACUUAUCAUAUAAUAGGGUAACUGGCGAAUUUGCAGACAUCAAGUAACAAGGUGAAGUCCUCUCGGGCUGCUACACAGGCAGUUCUUACUGUGCUAAAUCUGUAAGCCCGUGACAAUCUUCUAAACGUGAUUGGUCUAGUUGAUUCCUGCAAUACCGCAGCAGCUGAGGGUAAACGAUUCUCCUCUAAGUACAGGUGACCAUAUUGGUCUUGCAAAGCUAUCUCCCUCAAAGGUUAAAAUAUAGUUAAGGGUAGAUUCAAACCGAGUUGGCUCGAACUCGAUUGUCAACUUGACUUGUUUGAGCAUGAAACAAGCGGCCAUGAGCUCAAGUUCAAGCUUGAACCAUGGAUAUGCAACAUGAUUCAGCUCGAGUUUGAGCUUUCGUUAUAGGGGUGUUCGGCUUGAUAGGUUUAUGAGUAAGUUAUAUAUAUAGGUAAAAUGAUAUAAUUUUGACUAAUUCAAAACUUUGUUUUUUGUCAAUGUAAUGCAACAUCGUUGUACCAUAUAACUUAAGAAUUAAAUGAUGUUUUGCUUCAA